ACUCAGCUGACGACCGGCGCACGGGUGCGUAACGCGUAUGCAAUCUACCUCUUACUGAGGGAUAGCCCAUGGAAACGUGGAUUAAUACCUCAUAGUAUUAUAGACUGGCCUCAGUUUAUGAUUAAAGGUUACGGUAAGAGAUGAGCAUGCGUCCUAUUAGCUAGAUGGUAAGGUAACGGCUUACCAUGGCUACGAUAGGUAGGGGUCCUGAGAGGGAGAUCCCCCACACUGGUACUGAGACACGGACCAGACUCCUACGGGAGGCAGCAGUGAGGAAUAUUGGACAAUGGGCGAGAGCCUGAUCCAUCCAUGCCGCGUGCAGGAAGACGGCCCUAUGGGUUGUAAACUGCUUUUACAGAGGAAGAACCCUCCUUACGUGUAAGGAGCUGACGGUACUCUAUGAAUAAGGAUCGGCUAACUCCGUGCCAGCAGCCGCGGUAAUACGGAGGAUCCAAGCGUUAUCCGGAAUCAUUGGGUUUAAAGGGUCCGUAGGCGGGUCUAUAAGUCAGUGGUGAAAGUCUGCAGCUUAACUGUAGAACUGCCAUUGAUACUGUAGACCUUGAAUUAGUAUGAAGUGGUUAGAAUGUGUAGUGUAGCGGUGAAAUGCAUAGAUAUUACACAGAAUACCGAUUGCGAAGGCAGAUCACUAAUACUAUAUUGACGCUGAUGGACGAAAGCGUAGGUAGCGAACAGGAUUAGAUACCCUGGUAGUCUACGCCGUAAACGAUGGUUACUAGCUGUCCGGCCUAAUUGAGGG
rnacentral:rRNA from 1 species